rnacentral:rRNA from 1 species
UUCUUGAAACUCAAAGAAUUUGGCGGUGUUUUAGUCUAUUCAGAGGAAUCUGUCCCGUAAUCGAUAAUUCACGAAUUAUUAUACUUGAUUUUGUAAAUAAUCAACUUGUAUACCGCCGUCAUCAGAUUAUUUUUUUAGAAUUUGAAUUUUCUUGAAAUUUUAUUAGAUUAUAUGUCAGGUCAAGGUGCAGUUUAUGGUUAAGUGGAGAUGGAUUACAAUAAGAUUAUUUAUUAUGAAUUUUAUAAAUGAAAAAUUAAUUGAAGGUGGAUUUGACAGUAAUUUUAUUAUUUUGAUAAUUUGAUUGUAGCUCUAAAACAUGCACACAUCGCCCGUCGCUCUCGUUAUUAAGGCGAGAUAAGUCGUAACAUAGUAGAUGUACUGGAAAGUGUAUCUAGAAAGUAAAA